AUGUCUAAUGAAAGCCUGAAAUGUCUACUUUUAAAUGAGGUAAUUAAAAUGCAAAAAAUUGAAAGCAAAUAUUGCCUUUUUGUGUAAUCUGUACGUAAGUAAAGAGAGGUACAGUUUUUCUGGCUCGUCCUCAUUAGCGCUUAAUGUGAUCCCACAUACCGCGCGCGCGCCAUUCAUAUGAAAAUUACCUGAGUGGGCUAUGCAAACAAGAUCAAUGCCCCCAAAUAAUGCUAUAACAAGCACAAAGUUUUAAUAGAUUUAUUCACUUAUCGACACGCUGGGAAGAUGAAACGGACUCCGACGACGAACAAUUGUAUUUUGAAGAGCGACUUGAUCCAGCUGAGGAGAUAAUUUCUGAAGAGUAAGUUUUACUUACAUUUGUUGAAAUCUUGUGUGAUGUAAAAUUAUAUAUGCUGUACGGUAUACAGACUAUUUGCAAGCAGAUAUUCAGAGCGACUUUAUAGAAACGUCUCGUAAUUGGCAACUUUUAUUUACCUUAAAAUGUUAGUUAUUAUUAAGCAGUAUGCUGAUUAAUGUAAUGUGAAUAUACAAUAUUUUAUAUAGCAAUAUCACUAUUGAGAAUAUAUUUUGACUAGUGUUUAUGUCUCAAGUAGUCUUGUUUACAUGACUAUCUGUUCGGUAUCGAUGUGGUGUCGAUGAGCUGUAAAGAUGUGCCUGGAGAUAUGUCAUGUGUUAAAUUAAAAUGUUUAGCCAUAAAUAUGUCUGUUAAUGGCCCGUUAACAAACAUAUACAGAGCAUCUCUGUACCCAAUUAUCUUAUCUCAGCUAUGCUUGACUGCCUUAGUUAUUGCUUUAUAAGUUUGUUACUGUGUCGAAUACAUUAUAUUAAUUAUUAAAAACUUUUGUAGGAAUGUGGCUGCAUCACUCUUGUCUUCACCUGCACCGGCUGCAACACUUUCACCUUCAUUUGAUGCUCACACGGGGCACGCAGCAACGAGAACAAUAAAGAGAAUGUGUCUGCAUCACCUUUACCUGCUACUCACACAUGCCAUAGGUCUCUUUUUCACUUCUCAAAGUAACUGAGACUAAUUUAUUUAACACUGACAGUGAUAAUGCACCUGUUGCAAAGAGACUCAAGACCAACAUCCAGGCAAGCAGCAGGCAGUCCUUUCUGUCAUGCAAAACAUGUAAUGUUCCCUUGUGUGUUCAGUUAAAUAGGAACUGUUUUGAACAAUGGCAUGACAACAUAUAACACAUUUAUAUUUAUAUAAAUAUUUAAUUUAUAUGUAAAGUAUUUUUUGAUACACACCAAACUGUACAUUUACAGCAACAUUGGUAAAAUAAAAGUCUUAUUUUGUCAAGUACAGAUAUAAAUAAAAUCUUAAGUAUUUUGUACUUCAUUGUACACUAUUUUAUUAAACUACAAGCAAAAGAUUUUUCUCUUUAAGUCUCCCCACAUUCAUUCUUUAGUCAACCCAAUCCAGACUAAGCCAUUAGGGGUUUGGGCCUCCUCAGGUGUGAAUCAUCAAUAUUCAUGACCAUUGACCCUCCCUUGCAUAUUGCCUUUACACAACAAAAACUGUCUUACAAAAGUUAAAUCAAUGUAUUGUUUCAUGUGAAUUAGUGGGUAAAAUGGUUUUCACAUAUUUUUGUAACAAAUUACCAACUCUACAAGAGUAGAGAACUUUAUUGUGUGUGAACAAAUGUUUAGUACGUGUUUCUUGGCCUUAUUUCAGCAUCUUUUCUUUUUUCUUUUUUUUACUACCCACACAUAAACAUCAUUUACUUAAAAAUACAAA